AUGUUCCUCACAGUUUUUCUGGUUUAAGCUGAAACUACCAGACAUAUAAGGUCUCCUAAAAGCAACAGAGACAUUUGUUAUGGAGGCAAGUAUGCAACAG